rnacentral:rRNA from 1 species
ACUCCUACGGGAGGCAGCAGUGGGAAUAUUGCACAAUGGGCGAAAGCCUGAUGCAGCGACGCCGCGUGAGGGACGACGGCCUUCGGGUUGUAAACCUCUUUCAGUAGGGAACAAGGCAUCAUUUUUGUGGUGUUGAGGGUACUUGCAGAAGAAGCACCGGCUAACUACGUGCCAGCAGCCGCGGUAAUACGUAGGGUGCAAGCGUUAUCCGGAAUUACUGGGCGUAAAGCGCAUGCAGGUGGUUUGUUAAGUCAGAUGUGAAAGCCCGGGGCUCAACCUCGGAAUUGCAUUUGAAACUGGCAGACUAGAGUACUGUAGAGGGGGUAGAAUUUCAGGUGUAGCGGUGAAAUGCGUAGAGAUCUGAAGGAAUACCGGUGGCGAAGGCGGCCCCCUGGACAGAUACUGACACUCAGAUGCGAAAGCGUGGGGAGCAAACAGGAUUAGAUACCCUGGUAGGCUCUGC